GCAGACACAUUCCAGCCAAUCAGCAGCAGACCCUCCCUCCCAGACCCUCCCACCUCCUGACAGAUUCAUUGUGAAGCUGCAUUCUUAGUGAGCUGUCCAGGAGGUGGGAGGGUCUGGGAGGGAGGGUCUGCUGCUGAUUGGCUGGAAUGUGUCUG